UACGUAGGGUGCGAGCGUUAAUCGGAAUUACUGGGCGUAAAGCGUGCGCAGGCGGUUUUGUAAGCCAGAUGUGAAAUCCCCGGGCUUAACCUGGGAAUGGCAUUUGGGACUGCAAGGCUUGAGUGCGGCAGAGGAGACUGGAAUUCCUGGUGUAGCAGUGAAAUGCGUAGAUAUCAGGAGGAAUACCGAUGGCGAAGGCAGGUCUCUGGGCUGACACUGACGCUCAUGCACGAAAGCGUGGGGAG
rnacentral:rRNA from 1 species